CCGAAAGCGAACAAGUGGUGCCAGUUCUGAAGAUGAUUAGACAUUUUAAACGAAAUAAUGUUAUUAACCGGACUCUGUGAGAAAAGUUACAAACAGUUUAAAUUAUGGUGCCUGUGGAACUACCGUCAUCAGAAAUCCUUGCCGCCCCAUACGUAAGCAUCCCUGCCUUGCUUGCGAUGCUACGCUUACAUGCCUUCUUCGCGCUUACUCACACGGCUUUUAGAACAAUACUUUAAUGUAUUGUAUUGAAAUAACAAGCAUUAGACGGUGUUACAUUUUCUGACCGACUGUCCAAUGUAUGGAUACGAUAGGUUUAACACUGAACAAGCUAAGGGCAUAAAAGUAACGGAGACGAAUUUAAAGGAAAUAAUGUUCAGCAUUAAAUUACGAAGCAUGUUUUUGGGAUUUGCUGUAAUGGUUAUACAAAAAGUAGUUAAAAGAAAUAGGUAGUAGUGUUUUAUCAUCGGAGUUACCGAUACCACUUAUGUAAGCUAUUUAAUACCUACGACGACU